CUGGGCGCUGGGGAAGCGGUCGUGAGGGCACAUCAGGCCAUCCAGCGACACCAACAAACUGACUUCCAACUACGGCAGCAGCUGUCCCUUACCCAGGGCUUCCUACCCGGCCCUCGUCUAAACACCGUACAACGAUGACUCGGACCUAAGGCUCAAAACGACGCCAUGAGACGGCGCUAUUAACCUCACGUCCAGACGAGCACGCUGACCCAGGCCCUUCUGUCGCCCCUGCUCACAGGUGACAGAGCCAGGACUGACCGGGCCUUUCCGGCUCCGGAGCUCGGCUGCCCCGCAGACCCGGGCCCCGUCCGCGUUUUAACCGGCCUCCCGCCACCGACGUGGGCUUCCCUCGGGUCGGGCUGCAGGCGGGCCGGACACAUGGCCCCCGCUCCUGACUGGCUCCACCGCACCUACGACGCCCCGGAACCCGAAGGCCGCGUCACCACCUGGGCCUGACACGCGUCGCGGGCGCCGAGGGGCGCCUCCUGGGGCCUUCUGAAACCCGGAGAACACCUGUGGGGAGGUGGGGAGAGUUCCCCAAGCCUCGCGAGGCCCCCGCCCCUCGGCCUUCUCACCCCAGUGCUCACACCACGCAGGCGCAAAGACAGCGAAACUCCGCGACCCUGGUCCCAGCGGAGCUGGGAGACCCGGGCGGAAGGAGGCGGAGCUAGGACUGCACAUGCACGGAAGGAGCCAAGAGGACGGUGUGCGGAGUUCCGCGCCGAGCCAGCUGGAGGCAAGGCUGCGUUUUCCAUCAACCUUGCUGCCCGACCUGAGGUGACUGUUAGGGUUUUUCUGCAUUUUAAAAGCAACUGGAAGAUCAGCCCGACCUCUGGUGCUCCACUCAAGAAACCUGAGUUGACUGACCAAUUGAUUGCAGAGCCGCAGAAGGAAAAUGGUGACAAGAGGGGAAGUGGUUGACACGGCAGAAUUGCAGUCAAGCUUGAAGAUCUUUCAGAAUUAGAUGGAAAGUGAGAACAAUGAAGUAAGAUGAUGGACCCCUGAGAAGAUUUCUUUUUUAAACAAAGGAGCUUUGGAAAACCUAAGGUGGAGGUAGAUAAGGAAAGUCUGGGGGAUGUGUGCAUGCAUUGCUGUGUGAAUAAAGCUAAGUUGCCUACAUUCUGCUCCAGCUGGAGUUUUGACAGUCAACGUGAAACAAAAUGAGCCGUGGUCAAGGGAAGAGGAGGUGAGGGUCAUGGGGAGCUGAGGGGAACAUGUGGCAGAGGUGAUGAUAGGCACAUUUCUAGAUACGAAAAAAGGAAAACCUAAUGGGGGGAUGGGAAAUGUCAGACUGAGGGACAUUUUUGGUCACUGGAAGCUUCACUCACUGG